rnacentral:lncRNA from 1 species
GGGUGCUUUGGAUGGUGGUCUGGAUAUUCCUCACAGUGACAAGAGGUUUGCUGGUUUCAAGAAGGAUGAGAAGAACCUGGAUGCUGAGAUCCACCGCAAGUACAUCUAUGGUGGCCAUGUUGCCGACUACAUGAGGGUGAGUUGUGCAUGUUGCUUGUCAGAUUGUAACCCUUUGUUCCUUUGUGUUGAUUGUGGUAUCUAUUUGGAGGUCUUUACUAAUUCUCACCACUAUUAUUUCUUAUUAUUUUUCCAGACUCUGGCUGAGGAGGAGCCAGAGAAGUACCAGGCUCACUUCAGUGAGUACAUCAAGAAGGGAAUUGAGGCUGAUGACAUGGAAGCUCUGUACAAGAAGGUCCAUGCUGCUAUCCGUGGUGAACCUACCAUGGCCAAGAUAACCAAGCAGCCACCAAAGGAGCACAAGAGGUAUAACAAGGCAGCCACCAAUCUAGCGAACUGUUGUCUACAUCUUGAUGCCUUUACCUACCUUAAUUCCAUAAACUGCAUAGCUCUAACAAUUAUUUUUCCUUUAGGUACAACCCCAAGAAGCUGACCUAUGAGCAGAGGAAGGCCAGCCUCGUCGAAAGGCUCAACGCCCUCAACUCCUCGGGUGGUGCUGAUGACGACGAUGAUGAGGAUGACGAGUGAAGUGUAGUCCCAUCGUAGUAGUUCUAUCUUAUGUGGUGAUCUGAACUUGUGCUGUGGCACUUAUUUACCUGUAGUCCUGCAACAGGCAU